GGCGCCAUAGCCAAGUGGUUACGGCGACAGAUUAGAAUCAGCUCUGGUUUAUCCUGCAAAGGGCCCAGAAAUCCAUCCAUCUGUUCCUCUUUGAGGGCGCAGGUUCGAAUCCUGCUGGCGUCG